rnacentral:lncRNA from 1 species
UUGGAUUUCCUGGAGCGACAAAAAUCCUGGAAGAAGAUACUAUUGCUGCAUGCUCAGGAUUGUAAGAUCCUCAUCUUCCUCCUUUAAACUGAAUAUCUUCAUUCCUUUUUGAGAUUUCCCAUUUUUUUAUUGUUUGGAACUGUUGUCUAUUUUGAUUCAGACCGAUGGCAUGGCUAGAACAGGGGAGGAGAAGUGGAGCAGAGGCUGUACUGGCACAACAAAUUCAUGAGAAGAAUGAAGAAAUUAAAGGAAUAUUGGCUAGGUCUAAAAGGAUGGAGAGAAGUGCAAUGUAUAACAGUGUAACAGUGUAGUUGUUGGUCUAUUUGCAGGAUUUCUGCUAGGUAGAGGAUCAAUGUAAUGGUUGGAUGAUGUAAUGGCAGGAUCUAUGUUUUGUAGAGUACAUUUGUGUCAUCUGCCAGUGAUAUUAAUUCCUUUUGUGCACUUUCAAAUAUUUGUGAUGAUUAUGAGUGCAAAUUUUCC